rnacentral:rRNA from 1 species
UACGGGGGGAGCAAGCGUUGUUCGGAUUUACUGGGCGUAAAGGGCGCGUAGGCGGUCAGCACAAGUCAGUUGUGAAAUCUCCGGGCUCAACUCGGAAAGGUCAACUGAUACUGUGCGACUAGAGUGCAGAAGGGGCAACUGGAAUUCUCGGUGUAGCGGUGAAAUGCGUAGAUAUCGAGAGGAACACCUGCGGCGAAGGCGGGUUGCUGGGCUGACACUGACGCUGAGGCGCGAAAGCCAGGGGAGCGAACGGG